CGGAUUGAAGGCUGAAAUUCGCCUUCAUGAAGCCGGAAUUGCUAGUAAUGGCAGGUCAGCAUACUGCCGUGAAUACGUUCCCGGGCCUUGUACACACCGCCCGUCACACCAUGAGAGUUGGGAAUACCCGAAGCCUGUGAGCUAACUUUUAGAGGCAGCAGUCGAAGGUAGAAUCAAUGAUUGGGGUGAAGUCGUAACAAGGUAAC
rnacentral:rRNA from 1 species